rfam:Aedes aegypti strain Liverpool supercont1.599 genomic scaffold, whole genome shotgun sequence.
CGAUCGGCCCUUUUCAGGGCCAACAAACGCGUAUAAAAAUAUUUUG